rnacentral:lncRNA from 1 species
UCCUUUAUCCUCCUGUUUCAAUAUAUGUCAAUACAUGUUCACUAAAUGACUAUUAUGUAUCCCUGUUCAAUUGUUUCCUCAUCAAUAUUAAAUGAAAUACAGUUUCUCCUUUACUACUCAUGGCUGGGAAAUUUGAAGUGUCUGAUAGAGAUACCUUUCAGCAGCAUCUUUUCCUUGGAAGCCCAUAUCUCUGCUGAUUGCUGGAGGUCUUCAAGGGUCGGGUAUGUGAACACAAGCCUUUUCUUAUUUAGAUUUCUUUUUUUAAAAACAAGAACAAAAAAAGAAAACAUGGGAGAAGGGACAAGGAAGGAAAAGCAGUAUGAAAAAAAAAGAUAUCCCAAAAUGCUUUAGUACAUUCUGAACUAAUGCACAGUGAGUAAAAGUAAAUUCUAACAUCCUAGAAGUUGUGACCAUGGGAAGCUUU